UCUUCUUCUUUAGGAGUUGUACUGGUUUGAUGCACUAUCUGAGGAAUUUCUUACUGCUGGGGAAAUAUUAGUGAUUUAACUGAGUAAUCUAGAGUUGAUGCAAACCCUCUGUAUUGACACAUUCAUGUGAGAGUGGAUCCAAACUUGCUUUAUGGACUAGUGCUAGAUUAGAGGGCCUGCGAGUAUGCGACCACAAAAGAAAACACAAAGCUACCACAUUUGACGAAGAGUCCUUUCUCGGCUCAUGGCGUAGAAUGGUUUUUUUCAAAUAAUGAGCUUGUUCCACUAUCUUCUAGGCCAUAUUUAAAUAUUAUUGUUACAUUAACUUUAACUGAUAUGACACAACAACCAUCUAACUUCCAUACAUUUUAAUUCUGGCGUAAGGAGCACAUUCACAUCCUUGUACAGUUCUAAGAGCUACUUUAGAGGAUCAUAGAGAGGAGUUCAUAGAUUCUGUGGCUUGGUAGAGAGAGAUACGAGUGAUUGAUUGGCUUCUUUAGUGCUAUAAAAUAUUGCGAGAUGUUGGUAGCCUUUUAGAUAAAAUCUGGAGUGUGGGGUGACUCUGGCUGUAAACUGAACUUGGUUCAGUUAAAAACUGCACUGCCAAAUCUGGACAGCAAGCUUACAUCUGAAAAAUGAGUUAGCUAGGCUUAGAAUUUUGAGUUGGCCCCUUCACAUAAGUUUUAGAUAAAGUUCCAAGGUUUCUUUAGAGUAUUUAUUUGUGUCGUUUGGAUGUACGGUUUGAGCGCAGCCAUCAGUUUAGUUUGCUGUCCCGAAAUAUAUGUUCCUGGGUACAAUAUUUUGAUAUGGGAGAUUAGGCCCUGUUAGAGGUGGUAUUAAAAUAAGUUACAUCAUGAAAAUUUUAGAGGCUGUUCUAUAGAUACUUAAACACAUAUCAUUUGUCAGGUUUCGUUUGGUAUAUUAAAUCCUAUGAAAUUAUCAAAGUGGGUUGUACUAUGUUGGACAGAAUUUUAUGUUUGGACUUGGGUGAAUGUAACCAGACUUAUACUCUCAGAUUUUGUCAUAGUUGAUGGUGUGAGGACUCAUAAUGUGAUAAAGUAUAUAUGAGCUGUGGUCUUGGCGUAGAAAAGAUCCAAAUGACCAGUUGUAGCCUAGUUGUGUCAUAGAUAGUUUUUGUUUGCAUGGUUACAUGGUGUGGCUAAGGCAGAAGGUGUAACCAAAUAUGAUGCAGGUGAAGCUGCUGCAGAUCAGAAAGAGCAAAAAGGUUCAACAACCAUGAAAUCCUAGCUGAGGACGUGCGAGACUGGGAUAUAGCCAGUGACCGGGGGCAAGGGCAGCGUGCGCAGGGUGAUCGACGAGGACUACUGCGGCCCGAUGGGAGUCGUUCUCUUCAACUACUGAGAGGCAAACUUCACCGUGAAGCCCCGCGACCGCGUCAUACAGAUUAUUGUCCAGGUGACUGCGACGCAGGAGGUCCUCGGGGUGGAGGAGCUCGACGCCACCGUUCGGAGGUCACCGAGGUGGAGGACGACGCCACCGUUCGGAGUUCCUCAAGGUGGAGGACCUCGACGCUUUGUACAUACAUCUAGAGAAGUGGUCUGGUUAGGUUGGUGGUGAAACGCUAGAGAAGGUACCAACCUUUUGAUGACGAUUGUGUGUGUCCUCGUGAUCUCUUCGAGUUGAGAUGUUGAAUGUUGCAUCCAUGAACACUGCAAGUGUUAAGAUGGUUAUGUGAAAUUUAUUUUGCA